rnacentral:rRNA from 1 species
ACAUGCAGUCGAGCGAAUGGAUUANGAGCUUGCUCUUAUGAAGUUAGCGGCGGACGGGUGAGUAACACGUGGGUAACCUGCCCAUAAGACUGGGAUAACUCCGGGAAACCGGGGCUAAUACCGGAUAANAUUUUGAACNGCAUGGUUCGAAAUUGAAAGGCGGCUUCGGCUGUCACUUAUGGAUGGACCCGCGUCGCAUUAGCUAGUUGGUGAGGUAACGGCUCACCAAGGCAACGAUGCGUAGCCGACCUGAGAGGGUGAUCGGCCACACUGGGACUGAGACACGGCCCAGACUCCUACGGGAGGCAGCAGUAGGGAAUCUUCCGCAAUGGACGAAAGUCUGACGGAGCAACGCCGCGUGAGUGAUGAAGGCUUUCGGGUCGUAAAACUCUGUUGUUAGGGAAGAACAAGUGCUAGUUGAAUAAGCUGGCACCUUGACGGUACCUAACCAGAAAGCCACGGCUAACUACGUGCCAGCAGCCGCGGUAAUACGUAGGUGGCAAGCGUUAUCCGGAAUUAUUGGGCGUAAAGCGCGCGCAGGUGGUUUCUUAAGUCUGAUGUGAAAGCCCACGGCUCAACCGUGGAGGGUCAUUGGAAACUGGGAGACUUGAGUGCAGAAGAGGAAAGUGGAAUUCCAUGUGUAGCGGUGAAAUGCGUAGAGAUAUGGAGGAACACCAGUGGCGA